rnacentral:tRNA from 1 species
GGGGUUGUGGCUCAGCGGUAGAGCGCUCACCUAGCCCGUGUUCAGCCCUGGGUUCGAUCCCCAGCACCACA